AUGUUGAUGCUGUUUGCUCUAACACAAACAGAGUUACUUUCUAUUUUUGAUUGUUUUAAUCUAAUUCAGCAUGUUAAUUUUCCUACUCAUACCCGUGGUCAUACCCUUGAUUUGAUUUGUACAUCAAGGGCCAAUAUCUCUUCCAUCACCUCUACUGACACUGGUAUUUCUGAUCACAAAUUUCUUGAUUUUAGCUUCAGCCUGCCUAUGCAUAAGAAUUGUUCUACAACUGUCAUAUCUUACCGCAAUCUCAAAGCUGUUGAUACUGCAUUAUUUUGUACCUCCGUUUCCUCUUCUAAUCUCUCUGAUGUCUUUGAUAUCUCCUCACCCUCACUGAUACUAUCCAACUAUAACUCCAUAAUCUCGGAUAUCUUAGAUAAGCAUGCUCCUGUCAAGACCAGAAGUGUCCCUUCCACACAUUCGUCUCCUUGGUACACUCCUGAGCUCCGUAUCUUAAAGGCCACUGGCAGACGGCUUGAGCGUUACUAUAGGAAAACUGGCCUGACUGUUCACCAUUUGGCAUUCAUCGAACAUAUCAAGAUUUAUAAAUCGGCCCUGAGUUUGGCUCGUUCCAGUCUUGUAUCUGCUACAAUUAAUAAAUCAAGCAACAGGCCAAAAGCAUUAUUCAACACAAUAAAUAAACUUACCAAACCUCCAUCUCAUGUUGCUCUAGAUUCUGAUGAACUUUGCACUUCAUUCUUGGCUCACAUGCUCGAAAAGACUGAUGCCGUAAACCAGUGCCUCUUUAAUGAUGCCAGUAACAUUAGUCAUCUGCCGAAUCAACCUUGUCAAUCCCUGCCUUUUUUCUCUCUGUCUACUCCUUCUUCUGUCUCUGAGUUAAUCUUGAAAUCCAACCCUUCAUCUUGUCAUCUUGACCCUGCUCCUACUACUCUACUGAAACUUUGCCAUUCAGUUAUUUCUGCACCUAUCUCUCACUUCAUCAAUGCUUCUCUUACCUCUGCUUCAUUUCCUCUGUCACUCAAAAAUGCAGCUGUUACCCCUGUUCUCAAGAAACCCAACCUUGAUCCCUCAGUUUUAUCUAAUUAUGUCCCAUUUCAAAUCUCCCCUUCAUAG
rnacentral:lncRNA from 1 species